CAGGGCCAUUUUCCCACGGAGUAAGAACCAGAACGCCAGCUGCCCCAGCGGCGCUCGCACCAUCCACCCUUGAAAUUGCCGUAGAAGAGUGAAACCUCUAACCAACGGAGGAAAAUUCUGGAAAGUGAAUACAUUGCUCUUUAUGUUUCCUAACCUGGGGAAACUACGUGGAGAGAGGCAGGGGGAGCAGCAGUCAGCUUCACGGCUCUGGCCAUAGUCCACCAAGUAGCCCAGUCACGGAUCGUUGGGCGGAUGAGCAGCUAGGCUUCAUCAACCUUGCUCCAGAGCAGGGUGUCCGCACUGAAGGAACAAGCCUCAAACUUGAAAGGAUCUCCUUCCCAGGAUAACUGAUUGGAAAGUGUUCAGACAAAAUGUACGAAAAUUAAAUUCGCCAACUGCCCAAGAUUACUCAUUCUUAUACUAUUUUAUUAAAGAUCAUUGCUGAUGAGAAUUAUACUGAUUCAAUAUUGAAUAAUAAUCAGAAAGGAUUCAGCAUAAGAUCUAUUCACAGCCACCAUAAAAGAGAAGAAAGUAAUAAAACACAGAAAAGGUCAAUACAGAUUAUACUUCAGCUAAAUUAUCCCAGUAAAGAGAAGAUUUCAGGCAAACACCUUCUCCAUGCUUUCAGAGAAAUUAAUGGGAAAAUGGACUGUUAAAAAAAAAAAAAGGAGCUCAAGGAAGUGAUAAUUACUCAAACACAUAACAAAUGAACUGACAGAACUCUGCAAAGAAUUUUUUUAAAGAAUCCACUGCAAAAAUUAAAAUUACCUUGGAAGCAGCAAGAAAUAGGAUACUGAUGGAAAAAAAAAUUGUCAAGGAUUUAUGGAACAGUCCUAAGAAAAUCUAACAAAACAAAAUAAAACAAAAACCACCAAAGAAAUGUCAUUAAUUAGACAGAUGAUGAUAGCUAUGGAAGACAGAAAAAUGAUUCAAUAGAAGCAUAGCAUAAUUUAUUUCAGUAAAUAAAUAAAACAAGUAAAGAAAGAAA
ensembl:lncRNA novel transcript, antisense to RRS1